UGGGGAAUAUUGGGCAAUGGACGCAAGUCUGACCCAGCAACGCCGCGUGAAGGAAGAAGGCUUUCGGGUUGUAAACUUCUUUUAAGGGGGAAGAGCAGAAGACGGUACCCCUUGAAUAAGCCACGGCUAACUACGUGCCAGCAGCCGCGGUAAUACGUAGGUGGCAAGCGUUGUCCGGAUUUACUGGGUGUAAAGGGCGUGCAGCCGGAGAGGCAAGUCAGAUGUGAAAUCCGCGGGCUCAACCCGCGAACUGCAUUUGAAACUGCUUCCCUUGAGUAUCGGAGAGGUAACCGGAAUUCCUAG
rnacentral:rRNA from 1 species